UCGGGAAUUUUGGGCAAUGGGCGAAAGCCUGACCCAGCAACGCCGCGUGAAGGAUGAAGUAUUUCGGUAUGUAAACUUCGUAAGAAUAGGAAGAAUAAAUGACGGUACUAUUUGUAAGGUCCGGCUAACUACGUGCCAGCAGCCGCGGUAAUACGUAGGGACCAAGCGUUGUUCGGAUUUACUGGGCGUAAAGGGCGCGUAGGCGGUUUGUCAAGUCAGUUGUGAAAUCUCCGAGCUUAACUCGGAACGGUCAACUGAUACUGUCAAACUAGAGUACAGAAGGGGCAAUCGGAAUUCUUGGUGUAGCGGUGAAAUGCGUAGAUAUCAAGAGGAACACCUGAGGCGAAGGCGGGUUGCUGGGCUGAUACUGACGCUGAAGCGCGAAAGCUAGGGUAGCAAACGGGAUUAGAUACCCGUGUAGUCCCUGAGCGGGCUGGCAAGGCGCAU
rnacentral:rRNA from 1 species